UGUUUUAAUUAACUGAUAUUUGCAUGUUUCUGUCCUUUAGGGAGGCAAGUUUAGUGCGAUUCCUCUGUUUCUCAAUUUGGGUUCAGGCCUUGCCCUGCUCAGUAUUGCUACAGUUCUGAGUGACAUCGUAGUGCUGUAUGUGCUGCAGAAGAAGUAUUUCUACAGGGAGAAAAAGUAUCUGUUUGUUGAAGAUUCUGAUUCAGAGAGUGGAUCUGAAGGCAAUCGGCUUGUAGAGUACAGCCCAGAUGAUCAGUAACCAGGAACAAGCCUUAAAUACCUGUAUGUUCUUACAAAGGCGUCGAGAUCACGUGGUCUUAACAGUACUGGUAGUAUGGAUCGUGAUAGGAAACAGUAUUCACCAAUAAAUAACGACAAUGAUUCUAUAGAGGAUACUUCAGUCCCAGCUGACCAUACAGAGAGAUGAUAGAUAACACAUUACUGGAGUUCUGUAUACCUCUAGCUCUGAGUCAGGUCUGGGUUGCAUGAAGAUCAUGGUAACUUGCGAUCACAAUUAAAUCCUCGAAACACAGCGCUGAUACGACGAACAAGAUAAAGAAUUCUCACCCUAGGCGCAAUUUUGGCAGUCUUCUCUGGACGUUUAAUGGAGCUCAGUCAAUAACGGUAUUCUAAGUUAUUUUGGCCGUGCACAAAAUUACUUUUAAAUCGAGGAAAAACUGAAAAUAGCAGUUUUCAAGAUAGAGAAA